GAAUAAACAAACCGUGCUCAACCUAGACAGUGGACCAUCUUUCAGGACAGAAAAAGAUUUGGAGAAAAGUCGCCGCAUGGCCCUGUGAGAAGCCAGUCUGAACGACGUAGUCGAUUAAAGAUUUAAUCUCUCAGCUUCCUGCUCUGGCCACCUGCUGUCAGACCUCCCCACUAUUAUGGACUCUGGAAUGUUUCAGGAAAUUGCGCCUUGACUCUGUCCUCAGACUUCAGGUGUGAACAGCACCCCAGUCUUGCUCUCUCGGGCGUCCAUGGAAACUCGAAGACAGAAUGGUUACAGCAACACACCCAUGAACUCACAGGACCUUGGUCCUUGACGGAUCUGUGGGCAGAGGGAGACCCUCCAAGCUCUGUGAUGUCGGCUACCGAAGAAAAUAAAGCAUCCGUGUUGUACGUUACCUAAGUUCAGGAUGGCAUUAAGGCCUGCAUUGAAAAAGAUGGUUUUAAACAUUUGGGAAGUACAGAUAGAGUACAUCUAAACACAAGCAGCUGGGCCUAAAAAAUCCAUCAGAAGGAAGAAGAAUUUUAUAGACAUAUAAACUGAAAUAUUACAUUUCUAUACUACCAAAGAUUCCAUAAAGAAAGCUAAAAUGUGAGCUACACACUGAAGAGAUUUACAAUGCCUAUAACCAACAAAUAAUUCAUAAUACAUUUUUUUAUUCCCCACAAAUCAAUAGGAAAAGUAAUACAAGAAAAAACAGCAAAUAAUAUAAACUGGGCAGUCAUUGGAAAAGAAACACAACUCACUCUCAAUAUCAAAGGAAAUUCACAUUAAAAUCACAGCACGAUACAGCCCUGUGCUCUUUGGGCUGACAGUAGUGGUAAUAUCUGACAAAACCAAGCUUUGGUAAGCAUACUGGAGAAAGCAUUCUUGGGAAUGCUUGCUAGUGGGAGUGUAAACUGGUAGGUUUUCUACACUGGGAAUAGCUAUCAAAGGUGAAGAUAUAACUAUCCUAACAUGCAAUGACUCAGUUCCUUCCUUCCUAUGUAAGCCAGGCGAUCCGUUGCAUUUGUGUAAACAAUGUCAGGCACGCAGUGCCCAUUGUAGCAUUGUUUAUAAAGGCAAAGAAUUGGAAACCAGCAAAAGGACGGGCGAAUACUCUGGGAAUCAGUUAUAUA